rnacentral:rRNA from 1 species
GUCAUGUUAUCGAUAUGUGAAUACAUAGCAUAUCAGAAGGCACACCCGGAGAACUGAAACAUCUUAGUACCCGGAGGAAGAGAAAGAAAAUUCGAUUCCCUUAGUAGCGGCGAGCGAAACGGGAAGAGCCCAAACCAACAAGCUUGCUUGUUGGGGUUGUAGGACACUCUGUACGGAGUUACAAAGGACGACAUUAGACGAAUCAUCUGGAAAGAUGAAUCAAAGAAGGUAAUAAUCCUGUAGUCGAAAAUGUUGUCUCUCUUGAGUGGAUCCUGAGUACGACGGAGCACGUGAAAUUCCGUCGGAAUCUGGGAGGACCAUCUCCUAAGGCUAAAUACUCU